UUGUUCAUCUAGGAAAACUUGCAGAAGACAACGUUCAAGGUCAGAACAUUCUCUCUCAAUUUAUGCGAACAGGAGCAGCUAACAGGGGAGUUUGGCGACGGAGUUCUCCAGGUGAAGAAGGAGCGAUUACGUGACCCUUGGGCGCACACAGCUCAGCAAAGCAGCAGUAUCCGGCAGAAGCGGGGCAUGCAGCCACUGCCAUGACAACCCCAAGGGCAGGAGGUGACCAGAGAUGGAUCACAGGCACAGGGAGCAGAAAGCCCCCACCAAUCCAAGCCCCAAGGAUGAGGCGGCAGCAGCGCUGACAAAGCUGUGUCAAGCUGCUGAAAGACCAAGGUGUUACGGAAGCCUGCAUUCUUCAGAUCCAGGUUUCUCAGGACGUGUCAAAUGGACAUAGUUUUCUUCACUGCCAAGGCUAGUUACCGGACCCGAAUGCGGAUAGUAAGGACAAUGGCGAAGGAUGCAGAACUGUACCCAAGAGAAGCAGUAUUCACGUGCCCGCGGGCUGUGGCCAGAGGAUCUGCUGGAGUGGAAGCUGCCCUGGGCGCUGACGGGCUGUGGGGUGUCACCCACGUUUGUUACUGAUCCCUGAGAGGACCUUCCCUAUUAUCCCGUGACUUUUUAAAGUAUAAGGUAUUGGAUCAGCUCAGUAUGGCACGAACAAGGAAGAAAGCCGGUGGCAACAGUAAGAGGAAAACUAACCAUGUAGCUCAGCAGUAUGAUUCAGUCCAUAUUUCAGUUGUUCAGCAUGGGACUCAUCAACAUGAGGAAAUGAACCAUAUAACACAAAAUUCAUUAUUGUCAUUAUUUUUGAAAAUGUUAUACUGGGUGUGAACAGCCAUAAUUUCCUAGAGACCUUGCUUUACAUUUCAAUCCACACAUACGUGGGAGCGACAUAAAAGUAACUAUAGCAGCCUUGUUUCACCAAAUCCAAUGGCUAUUUGCAGAGUUCAUGGGUUUCCCUUGGAUAUUAUGAUCGUAGAUUCACACACCUUCCUAUCUGGAUCUGGUCCGUAAAUAAUCUGAAUUGAUUCAAGUCUCUUUACGUAAAUUUGGUAUUAUUCCUAAAUAUGCUUUCCAUGCAGGAAGUUCUUUUUGUCUCUUUCCCUACACAGACCAGUCCUAACCUUGUUGCUGUCUGUCACCAUACCCUUUACAAGUUCCUUUAAAUGUAACUUUCUCUUACUUGUGAAUUAAGUUGGUCAGUCCAUCCUACAGAACAAUAAAAAUUCUUCUGCCUGGAUACGUACUUACUCUCCCUUAUGGUAAUUCAUAUACUAAAUACCAACUCCAGCUUUCCCACACAUGACAUUGUCUUUUACCUGGUGAAUGUACUAACAUGUCGUAAGACAAUGCUCAGGCUGCUAGUGAACACUGUUUAUGCUGACAAAUAAUGUUUCGUUGUUAUUGUGGUCCCCCGUCUGUCUGUAUCUACUUGUUGUCUCUUGUCUCUGACAGAAUGUACUUCUGUAUUCACACACUAUUGUAAUAAUCUUUGUACAGAGUAUGCCUUGUAAGGUAUCAUUUGAAAACUCAUAAUUUGCUGAUCAUUAUUGUCUCGGUAAAGUAUGUGCAGCAACAUUGUAUGUGAAGUUAUA